UUGUUUUCUCAUGCCAUUUGUAUUACAUGAGGCAAAGGUUGGAGUUGUUAGCUACAAAAAUUUGUUUUAAAAAAUAAUAUUAAUUUCAAAAACUUAAAUUUUUGGGAGUUAAAAUACAUUUCUUCGACAUAAAAGCAACUAAAUAGAGAUAGAAUUAAAGUGGGUUUUU